UGGGUCAAGGUGUGAGAUUUCCUGGAACUGGAGUUACAAACACAUGUGAGCUGCCAUGUGGGGUUCUGGCAAUCAAACCCAAAUUCUCUGGAAGAGCAGCCAGUGUACUUAACUAACCAUUGAGCCAUCU